rnacentral:rRNA from 1 species
CCUACGGGAGGCAGCAGUGGGGAAUAUUGGGCAAUGGGCGCAAGCCUGACCCAGCAACGCCGCGUGAAGGAAGAAGGCUUUCGGGUUGUAAACUUCUUUUCUGAGGGACGAAGAAAGUGACGGUACCUCAGGAAUAAGCCACGGCUAACUACGUGCCAGCAGCCGCGGUAAGACGUAGGUGGCAAGCGUCAUCCGGAUUUAUGGGGUGUAAAGGGCGUGUAGGCGGGAAAGCAAGUCAGAUGUGAAAGCUGAGGGCUCAACCCUGAGCCUGCAUUUGAAACUGUUUGUCUUGAGUGCUGGAGAGGCAAUCGGAAGUCCGUGUGUAGCGGUGAAAUGCGCAGAUAUACGGAGGAACACCAGUGGCGAAGGCGGAUUGCUGGACAGUAACUGACGCUGAGGCGCGAAAGCGUGGGGAGCAAACAGGAUUAGAUACCCGAGUAGUC